AUUGAACGCUGGCGGCAUGCCUUACACAUGCAAGUCGAACGGUAACGCGGGGCAACCUGGCGACGAGUGGCGAACGGGUGAGUAAUGCAUCGGAACGUGCCCAGUAGUGGGGGAUAGCCCGGCGAAAGCCGGAUUAAUACCGCAUACGACCUACGGGCGAAAGGGGGGGAUCGCAAGACCUCUCGCUAUUGGAGCGGCCGAUGUCAGAUUAGGUAGUUGGUGGGGUAAAGGCCCACCAAGCCUUCGAUCUGUAGCUGGUCUGAGAGGACGACCAGCCACACUGGGACUGAGACACGGCCCAGACUCCUACGGGAGGCAGCAGUGGGGAAUUUUGGACAAUGGGCGCAAGCCUGAUCCAGCCAUGCCGCGUGCGGGAAGAAGGCCUUCGGGUUGUAAACCGCUUUUGUCAGGGAAGAAACGCUCUGGGCUAAUACCUCGGGGUAAUGACGGUACCUGAAGAAUAAGCACCGGCUAACUACGUGCCAGCAGCCGCAGUAA
rnacentral:rRNA from 1 species